rnacentral:rRNA from 1 species
AUACGGAGGGUCCAAGCGUUAUCGGGAUUCAUUGGGUUUAAAGGGUCCGCAGGCGGGAAAAUAAGUCAGUGGUGAAAGCCUACAGCUCAACUGUAGAACUGCCAUUGAUACUGUUUUUCUUGAGUAUAGAUGAAGUGGGCGGAAUAUAUCAUGUAGCGGUGAAAUGCAUAGAUAUGAUAUAGAACACCGAUUGCGAAGGCAGCUCACUAAACUAUUACUGACGCUCAGGGACGAAAGCGUGGGGAGCGAACAGGAUUAGAUACCCUAGUAGUCC